GCGGAAGUAGUUCAGUGGUAGAAUAUCACCUUGCCAAGGUGGAGGUCGCGGGUUCGAAUCCCGUCUUCCGCUCCA
rnacentral:tRNA from 3 species